rnacentral:rRNA from 1 species
CGCGAUGAAUACGUCCCUGUUCUUUGUACACACCGCCCGUCGUUAUCGAAGAUGAAGACAGGCGCGAACGAUCUACCAGAAAGUGAGCGCAGGUCUUUAGAUCUGAUACAAGUCGUAACAAGGUAGCUGUAGGUGAACCUGUAGCUGG